UGCCAGUCUGAGCUCACAAGGAGGUACCGGAGGGCUCUGCUGGGGCAUGGAGGUCCCUGAGCAGGUGGUCACUUAUUGCUUGUGGAGUGGUCCAUGGCCUGUGAGUUUAUUCUCGGGGUUUGUGUGGGCGAGGUUAACCAGUUCACAGCUGGGCACUUACCCCUUACACAGGUGACACUAGUUAAAGUGGAAUCUAUAUUAGCUCACACGGGAGUGUGUGAGGAGCUGGGAGGGUGGGGAGGCUUGGCCUUAGCACUAGAUCCCGGUCUCCUGACAUUUCUGCGUCUUCCAGUUGAGGGGCCGCCAGAGCCGCUGUGGGUCCUGAAGACAGUGGGUGCCAUAUGGACCAGGGGAUGCGGAAGCCUCUAGAGGCUGCGGGAGGCAAGGAGACGGUGGCUUCCCCAGAGCCAGCCCUGCCGCCACUUCGACGUUAGAUGGUGGGACCUGUUUUGGACUCCAGCUUCCAGAAAUGUGUUCACAGUGGUGUGAGGGAGAUGGCAUCAGGGUUCUGGGAACUGUGCAGUUUUACUGAAGGAAGGGGGCUCGCCACGCCUUUCCUCAUAUAACUGAAGGUAUGUAUGCCUGCCACACUGCCCAGGAGACAGGGACUAGAAUUCUGACUUUAUUUCUUAUGGGAACCAAGCCACAGUCAGAACACGGUGAGGGCCGAGACGAGCUUCCUACAGCCUGAACUGGGAAGAGGAAUCGCAAGUAGUUUGUGUUUUUCUACACAGACCUGUCCUUUUCAGGUUUUGUUAAGUUUUGGAAAAAGGGAGAAGCCAGGCACACCUCGGCGAGGGACAG